GCUUGUCUCAAAGAUUAAGCCAUGCAUGUCUAAGUAUAAACAAAUUUAUAGUGAAACUGCGAAUGGCUCAUUAUAUCAGUUAUAGUUUAUUUGGCGAUAAAAACUACUUGGAUAACCGUAGUAAUUCUAGAGCUAAUACAUGCAUCAUCCCCCAUCUCGGGGUGUAUUUAUUAGAUGGAAACCAAUGCGGGGCAACCCGGUUACUGGUGAUUCAUAAUAACCUAUCGGACCGAAUGGCCUUGCGCCGUCGGUGCAUCAUUCAAAUUUCUGCCCUAUCAAUUUGUUGGUAGUAUAUAGGACUACCAAGAUGAUUACGGGUAACGGAGAAUUAGGGUUUGAUUCCGGAGAGGGAGCCUGAGAAACGGCUACCACAUCUAAGGAAGGCAGCAGG
rnacentral:rRNA from 1 species